GAGUGGCGGACGGGUGAGUAACGCGUGGGUAACCUGCCUUGUACAGGGGGAUAACAGUUGGAAACGGCUGCUAAUACCGCAUAAGCGCACGGCAUCGCAUGAUGCAGUGUGAAAAACUCCGGUGGUAUAAGAUGGACCCGCGUUGGAUUAGCUAGUUGGUGAGGUAACGGCCCACCAAGGCAACGAUCCGUAGCCGGACUGAGAGGUUGAACGGCCACAUUGGGACUGAGACACGGCCCAGACUCCUACGGGAGGCAACAGUGGGGAAUAUUGCACAAUGGGGGAAACCCUGAUGCAGCGACGCCGCGUGGAGGAAGAAGGUCUUCGGAUUGUAAACUCCUGUUGUUGGGGAAGAUAAUGACGGUACCCAACAAGGAAGUGACGGCUAACUACGUGCCAGCAGCCGCGGUAAAACGUAGGUCACAAGCGUUGUCCGGAAUUACUGGGUGUAAAGGGAGCGCAGGCGGGAAGACAAGUUGGAAGUGAAAUCUAUGGGCUCAACCCAUAAACUGCUUUCAAAACUGUUUUUCUUGAGUAGUGCAGAGGUAGGCGGAAUUCCCGGUGUAGCGGUGGAAUGCGUAGAUAUCGGGAGGAACACCAGUGGCGAAGGCGGCCUACUGGGCACCAACUGACGCUGAGGCUCGAAAGUGUGGGUAGCAAACAGGAUUAGAUACCCUGGUAGUCCACACCGUAAACGAUGAUUACUAGGUGUUGGAGGAUUGACCCCUUCAGUGCCGCAGUUAACACAAUAAGUAAUCCACCUGGGGAGUACGACCGCAAGGUUGAAACUCAAAGGAAUUGACGGGGGCCCGCACAAGCAGUGGAGUAUGUGGUUUAAUUCGACGCAACGCGAAGAACCUUACCAAGUCUUGACAUCCCUUGACAGGCAUAGAAAUAUGUAAUCUUUUCGGAGCAAGGAGACAGGUGGUGCAUGGUUGUCGUCAGCUCGUGUCGUGAGAUGUUGGGUUAAGUCCCGCAACGAGCGCAACCCUUAUGGUCAGUUACUACGCAAGAGGACUCUGGCCAGACUGCCGUUGACAAAACGGAGGAAGGUGGGGAUGACGUCAAAUCAUCAUGCCCUUUAUGACUUGGGCUACACACGUACUACAAUGGCGUUAAACAAAGAGAAGCAAGACCGCGAGGUGGAGCAAAACUCAGAAACAACGUCCCAGUUCGGACUGCAGGCUGCAACUCGCCUGCACGAAGUCGGAAUUGCUAGUAAUCGUGGAUCAGCAUGCCACGGUGAAUACGUUCCCGGGCCUUGCACACACCGCCCGUCA
rnacentral:rRNA from 1 species